CCUGGCUCAGAACGAACGCUGGCGGCAGGCUUAACACAUGCAAGUCGAGCGCCCCGCAAGGGGAGCGGCAGACGGGUGAGUAACGCGUGGGAAUCUACCCUUGACUACGGAAUAACGCAGGGAAACUUGUGCUAAUACCGUAUGUGUCCUUCGGGAGAAAGAUUUAUCGGUCAAGGAUGAGCCCGCGUUGGAUUAGCUAGUUGGUGGGGUAAAGGCCUACCAAGGCGACGAUCCAUAGCUGGUCUGAGAGGAUGAUCAGCCACAUUGGGACUGAGACACGGCCCAAACUCCUACGGGAGGCAGCAGUGGGGAAUAUUGGACAAUGGGCGCAAGCCUGAUCCAGCCAUGCCGCGUGAGUGAUGAAGGCCCUAGGGUUGUAAAGCUCUUUCACCGGAGAAGAUAAUGAC
rnacentral:rRNA from 1 species